rnacentral:lncRNA from 1 species
GGGAGAUGCCCAUUCAUGGCAGCCAGCAGAAAGCAGCUGAAGAAGCUGAUGACACAGGGAACCUAUGACAUCCCCCGCAUGUGUCUGAGGGAGCAGAAAGCCUCAUCAAUGGGACCCCAACAGUGGCCCCACACAGAGGCCCACCAUAGAGCAGGUCAUGGGGCACCCAUGGCUGAGCCAGGGUGGGGAAGCUGCUUCGCCCAGUCCUUCUAGUGAGGCACUCCCCAAACUCCCGGAUCCCACAAUUAUGAAACUCAUGAUUGACGUGGGUCACCACCCCUAUAUACCUGGGUGUCUGUGGCCAGAUGAAGAUCUGAUGAUGGGAUGGCCACCUACCUCAUCCUCAUAGAGAACCCAGCAGGCAGGCCCUAUGGAUCUUCCCAGGGUCUGCUCCAAGAAGUGUCCCAGUGAGCCUGCCCUUCCCUUGCCCUGUGAGCAGCAGCAGCCUGAGGAGGCUGAGCAGUCCCAGCAGAAGGGUGCUGGAAGUGCCAGAGCCUGCCAUCCCUCUCUGCUUCCUCCACAUAGACACACCCCCUCCCAGCCCAGCCUCCCAGGAGACCCUGUGCCCAGCAGGGGUUGGAAGAGAGUGAAGAGGAGGAUCGCCAAAUGCUCCCAACAACUGUGCUGCUUACCCUGCCUCCAUGGGACAGCGUCCAGAAACAGAGUGGCUCCAAUGGAAAUGCCCAGACAGAACUGAGGGACAGCCACAAGACCCUGAGCUCUCUGGAGGCUGACGACAUGGUGUGGGAUGAGGUGUGCAGAGGGCUCAGGCUUCUCUGCAAGGAUUCCAGGCAGCAACUCAUCUGCAUCCACCAGGAGUCUCCUCUGCCCCGCCCCCCACUACUGCGAUGACACAUCAUAGAGACUUUUCCCUGGGACACUUCCCUCUGUCCUGCUUUUUGUCC